CAGCAGCCGCGGGAAUACGUAGGUGGCAAGCGUUGUCCGGAAUUAUUGGGCGUAAAGGGCUCGCAGGCGGUUUCUUAAGUCUGAUGUGAAAGCCCCCGGCUCAACCGGGGAGGGUCAUUGGAAACUGGGAAACUUGAGCGCAGAAGAGGAGAGUGGAAUUCCACGUGUAGCGGUGAAAUGCGUAGAGAUGUGGAGGAACACCAGUGGCGAAGGCGACUCUCUGGUCUGUAACUGACGCUGAGGAGCGAAAGCGUGGGGAGCGAACAGGAUUAGAGACCCCUGUAGUCCCUGUCUCUUAUAC
rnacentral:rRNA from 1 species